rnacentral:rRNA from 1 species
CGCAUCUGUGCAUGCAGCAUAUCAAUAAGCGGAGGAAAAGAAACUAACAAGGAUUCCCCUAGUAACGGCGAGUGAAGCGGGAAGAGCUCAAAUUUGAAAUCUUAAAGGGUUUCCCUUUACGAAUUGUAGUUUAAAGAAGUGUUUUCUGUUGAGGUUUUGGUAAAAGUUCUUUGGAAUAGGACAUCAUAGAGGGUGAGAAUCCCGUAUUUGACCUUUACUUUCAACUUUGAGAUACACUUUCAAAGAGUCGGAUUGUUUGGGAAUGCAGUCCAAAAUGGGUGGUAAAUUUCAUCUAAAGCUAAAUAUUGGCGAGAGACCGAUAGCGAACAAGUACCGUGAGGGAAAGAUGAAAAGAACUUUGAAAAGAGAGUUAAACAGUACGUGAAAUUGUCAAAAGGGAAGCGUUUGACACCAGUGUUGUUUUUCUGAAAAUCAAUUAAAGAACUGUUUAUGCUAAGCUGUUUAGACUUUAUCAGCUAUCUGUUUAGUUUUGAGCUUUUCUUUAAUGCACUUUUCAGUUAACAAGUCAACAUCAAUUUCUUUUGCUGUAAAAAAGCUUGAGGAAGGUGGCUUGAGAUUCGUCUUAAGUGUUUAUAGCCUCUUGCCUAUGCAGUCGGAGAGAUUGAGGUCUGCAGCGUAGAUCCUUCGGGGCUAAAUGCAUUUGUGCUAAGUUAUAGCAUUUUAUAGGACAACUUGUUGACUAUGAUUUGUCUUGUAGCUUACUCGCUUAUGUUAUUUUACCUACGCUUAGGAUGUUGAGUCAUCACACAUCUCU